GCUCCCUGCUGCUGAGCUAUAAAGGCAGCAGCCCAGCCCUAAACAUGCUUCCAUUGGUCAGUGAUAAUCAAGGUGCUUGUGUGCUGUUAGUGCUGUUUUGGCUGAAACUAGGAUGCUGUAUGACAGCAUCCCUAUUUCUGGCUUGGGGGGGCCUCUUGAUCCAGCGCAUCGCUUCUGCAGAUGUGGCAGGAGAUCCACUGUUAAUAAACCAGAUAGUAGUGAUCAACAGCAAGAAGCUGCUGCAGCUGAUAAAAUGGGAGUUAGAAAGCCUUACUCAAAAAGUAGUGUCUGGGAAGAGGCUUUUCCCUGUUCUUGUCAUGAAAAUUCAGAAAUCCAAUCCUGACCUCAAACAAGCCUUCAGCACUGCCUAAAUUAGUGUGGACUACAGAUUUCUUACGUGCAAACUCUCUUACCA
rnacentral:lncRNA from 1 species